rnacentral:rRNA from 1 species
CUGGCUCAGGAUGAACGCUAGCGACAGGCUUAACACAUGCAAGUCGAGGGGCAGCAUAGAAGUAGCAAUACUUGGUGGCGACUGGCGCACGGGUGAGUAACGCGUAUGCAACCUACCUAUCAGAGGGGAAUAACCCGGCGAAAGUCGGACUAAUACCGCAUAAAACAGGGGCACCGCAUGGUGAUAUUUGUUAAAGAAAUUCGCUGAUAGAUGGGCAUGCGUUCCAUUAGGUAGUUGGUGAGGUAACGGCUCACCAAGCCGACGAUGGAUAGGGGAACUGAGAGGUUGGUCCCCCACACUGGUACUGAGACACGGACCAGACUCCUACGGGAGGCAGCAGUGAGGAAUAUUGGUCAAUGGGCGGGAGCCUGAACCAGCCAAGUCCGCGUGAAGGAAGAAGGAUCUAUGGUUCGUAAACUUCUUUUGCAGGGGAAUAAAGUGCAGGACGUGUCCUGUUUUGUAUGUACCCUGAGAAUAAGGAUCGGCUAACUCCGUGCCAGCCGCGGC